rnacentral:tRNA from 1 species
UCCCUUGGGCUAGUGGCUAAGACUCUGCAUUCCCAAUGCAGGGGACCCAGGUUCAAUUCCUUGUCAGGGAA